GAUGAACGCUGGCGGCGUGCCUAAUACAUGCAAGUCGAGCGAAUGGAUUAAGAGCUUGCUCUUAUGAAGUUAGCGGCGGACGGGUGAGUAACACAUGGGUAACCUGCCCAUAAGACUGGGAUAACUCCGGGAAACCGGGGCUAAUACCGGAUAACAUUUUGAACCGCAUGGUUCGAAAUUGAAAGGCGGCUUCGGCUGUCACUUAGUGAUGGACCCGGGUCGCAUUAGCUAGUUGGUGAGGUAACGGCUCACCAAGGCAACGAUGCGUAGCCGACCUGAGAGGGUGAUCGGCCACACUGGGACUGAGACACGGCCCAGACUCCUACGGGAGGCAGCAGUAGGGAAUCUUCCGCAAUGGACGAAAGUCUGACGGAGCAACGCCGCGUGAGUGAUGAAGGCUUUCGGGUCGUAAAACUCUGUUGUUAGGGAAGAACAAGUGCUAGUUGAAUAAGCUGGCACCUUGACGGUACCUAACCAGAAAGCCACGGCUAACUACGUGCCAGCCGCCGCGGUAA
rnacentral:rRNA from 1 species